rnacentral:lncRNA from 1 species
CCCAUGAUAGCUAUGCUCCUCUAGAAAAGUCAAGGUCCUACUAGUAACCUCCAAUUGUCCUUUUGGCUAAGCAAUUUUUGGUUGGCCAGGUUGAUUUUUUGAGCUCAUCCCUAGCCUUCUUUUAGUUGGUUCUAGCUUCCAUUUUCUGCAUACACUCAUUGUUCUUUCCAUUUUCACCUUUUUCUCUUGCUUCCUUUUUGGGUUAGUUCUUCAUCUUUUAAUCUUAGGAUGCGUGGAUUGGGGAACAUGGUG